rnacentral:rRNA from 1 species
ACGAGUGGCGGACGGGUGAGUAACACGUGGGUAACCUGCCCUUAAGUGGGGGAUAACAUUUGGAAACAGAUGCUAAUACCGCAUAGAUCCAAGAACCGCAUGGUUCUUGGCUGAAAGAUGGCGUAAGCUAUCGCUUUUGGAUGGACCCGCGGCGUAUUAGCUAGUUGGUGAGGUAAUGGCUCACCAAGGCGAUGAUACGUAGCCGAACUGAGAGGUUGAUCGGCCACAUUGGGACUGAGACACGGCCCAAACUCCUACGGGAGGCAGCAGUAGGGAAUCUUCCACAAUGGACGCAAGUCUGAUGGAGCAACGCCGCGUGAGUGAAGAAGGCUUUCGGGUCGUAAAACUCUGUUGUUGGAGAAGAAUGGUCGGCAGAGUAACUGUUGUCGGCGUGACGGUAUCCAACCAGAAAGCCACGGCUAACUACGUGCCAGCAGCCGCGGUAAUACGUAGGUGGCAAGCGUUAUCCGGAUUUAUUGGGCGUAAAGCGAGCGCAGGCGGUUUUUUAAGUCUGAUGUGAAAGCCCUCGGCUUAACCGAGGAAGCGCAUCGGAAACUGGGAAACUUGAGUGCAGAAGAGGACAGUGGAACUCCAUGUGUAGCGGUGAAAUGCGUACUAUAUAUGGAAGAACACCAGUGGCGAAGGCGGCUGUCUGGUCUGUAACUGACGCUGAGGCUCGAAAGCAUGGGUAGCGAACAGGAUUAGAUACCCUGGUAGUCCAUGCCGUAAACGAUGAAUGCUAGGUGUUGGAGGGUUUCCGCCCUUCAGUGCCGCAGCUAACGCAUUAAGCAUUCCGCCUGGGGAGUACGACCGCAAGGUUGAAACUCAAAGGAAUUGACGGGGGCCCGCACAAGCGGUGGAGCAUGUGGUUUAAUUCGAAGCAACGCGAAGAACCUUACCAGGUCUUGACAUCUUUUGAUCACCUGAGAGAUCAGGUUUCCCCUUCGGGGGCAAAAUGACAGGUGGUGCAUGGUUGUCGUCAGCUCGUGUCGUGAGAUGUUGGGUUAAGUCCCGCAACGAGCGCAACCCUUAUGACUAGUUGCCAGCAUUUAGUUGGGCACUCUAGUAAGACUGCCGGUGACAAACCGGAGGAAGGUGGGGAUGACGUCAAAUCAUCAUGCCCCUUAUGACCUGGGCUACACACGUGCUACAAUGGAUGGUACAACGAGUUGCGAGACCGCGAGGUCAAGCUAAUCUCUUAAAGCCAUUCUCAGUUCGGACUGUAGGCUGCAACUCGCCUACACGAAGUCGGAAUCGCAUAGUAAUCGCGGAUCAGCACGCCGCGGUGAAUACGUUCCCGGGCCUUGUACACACCGCCCGUCACACCAUGAGAGUUUGUAACACCCGAAGCCGGUGGCGUAACCCUUUUAGGGAGCGAGCCGUCUAAGGUGGGACAAAUGAUUAGGGUGAAGUCGUAACAAGGUAGCCGUAGGAGAACCUGCGGUUGGAU